GAUUGUUCACCCACCAAUAGGGAACGUGAGCUGGGUUUAGACCGUUGUGAGAUAGGUUAGUUUUAUCUUACUAAUGACAAUGUGGCAAUAGUAAUUCAACCUAGUACGAGAGGAACCAUUGAUUCGCACAAUUAGUCAUCGUGCUUGGUUGAAAAACCAGUGGCGCGAAGUUACUGUGCGCUGGAUUAUGACUGAACACCUCUAAGUCAGAAUACGGGCUAGAAGCGAUGCAUGCACCCACCUCUCAUUUGCCGACCCGCAGUAGGGGUCGUCCAGCCCCCAAAGGCACGUGUCGUUGGUGAAGCCCGCUCGGCGGAUGAGCCGCGCGGGCCACCUUGAAGUACAAUUCCUAUCUCGAGCGGCGGGUAGAAUCCUUUGCAGACGACUUAUAUAGGCGACGGGGUAUUGUAAGUGGCAGAGUGGCCUUGCUACCACGAUCCACUGAGAU
rnacentral:rRNA from 1 species